rnacentral:rRNA from 1 species
UACGAAGGGUGCGAGCGUUAAUCGGAAUUACUGGGCGUAAAGCGUGCGCAGGCGGUGAUGUAAGACCGAUGUGAAAUCCCCGGGCUUAACCUGGGAACUGCAUUGGUGACUGCAUCGCUCGAGUAUGGCAGAGGGGGGUAGAAUUCCACGUGUAGCAGUGAAAUGCGUAGAGAUGUGGAGGAAUACCGAUGGCGAAGGCAGCCCCCUGGGUCAAUACUGACGCUCAUGCACGAAAGCGUGGGGAGCAAACAGG